rnacentral:rRNA from 1 species
UACGUAGGGUGCGAGCGUUGUCCGGAAUUAUUGGGCGUAAAGGGCUCGUAGGCGGCCUGUUGCGUCAGGAGUGAAAACUCGGGGCUUAACCCCGAGCCUGCUUCUGAUACGGGCAGACUAGAGGUAUGCAGGGGAGAACGGAAUUCCUGGUGUAGCGGUGAAAUGCGCAGAUAUCAGGAGGAACACCGGUGGCGAAGGCGGUUCUCUGGGCAUUACCUGACGCUGAGGAGCGAAAGUGUGGGGAGCGAACAGG